GACGAACGCUGGCGGCGUGCCUAACACAUGCAAGUCGAACGGAAAGGCCCUGCUUUUGUGGGGUGCUCGAGUGGCGAACGGGUGAGUAACACGCGAGUAUCCUGCCCCUGACUUUGGGAUAUCUUCUGGAAACUGGGGAUAAUACCGGAUAGAAGCUCUUGCUGCAUGGUGGGGGAUGGAAAGUUACGGUGGUUGGGGAUGGACUAGCGGCUUCUCAGCUGGUUGGGCGGGUAGGGGCUUACCAAGUCUUCGACGGGUAGCCGGCCUGGGAGGGUGACCGGCCACAUUGCGACUGAGAUACGGCCCAGACUCCAACGGGAGGCAACGGUGGAGAGUAUGACACAAUGGGCGGGAGCCAGAUGCGACAACGCCGCGAGCGGGAUGACGUCCUUCGAGUUGUGAACCACUGUCGCCUUAGACGAGGAGUUAGUGACGGUAAUGGGUAAAGAAGCACCGGCUAACUACGUG
rnacentral:rRNA from 1 species